rnacentral:rRNA from 1 species
GAUGAACGCUGGCGGCGUGCCUAAUACAUGCAAGUCGAGCGAAUGGAUUGAGAGCUUGCUCUUAUGAAGCUAGCGGCGGACGGGUGAGUAACACGUGGGUAACCUGCCCAUAAGACUGGGAUAACUCCGGGAAACCGGGGCUAAUACCGGAUAACAUUUUGAACCGCAUGGUUCGAAAUUGAAAGGCGGCUUCGGCUGUCACUUAUGGAUGGACCCGCGUCGCAUUAGCUAGUUGGUGAGGUAACGGCUCACCAAGGCAACGAUGCGUAGCCGACCUGAGAGGGUGAUCGGCCACACUGGGACUGAGACACGGCCCAGACUCCUACGGGAGGCAGCAGUAGGGAAUCUUCCGCAAUGGACGAAAGUCUGACGGAGCAACGCCGCGUGAGUGAUGAAGGCUUUCGGGUCGUAAAACUCUGUUGAUAGGGAAGAACAAGUGCUAGUUGAAUAAGCUGGCACCUUGACGGUACCUAACCAGAAAGCCACGGCUAACUACGUGCCAGCCGCCGCAGUAA